rnacentral:snRNA from 1 species
GCUUCUCGGCCUUUUGGCUAAGAUCUAGUAUGG